AGUGGGUAUAAAACAGUAGCGGAUGUGGCUAUGGGCAGUUUCUCAGGGUAGGAUGAUAGGGCAGGUACAUCUGCUAACAAGGCAGACUCUCAGUCUUGUUCAGCUGGUUCUGGUUGACUAUCAGUUGCAGGCUUGAUGUUUCUGGCUGGUACCCAAAUGGGCUGUCCCACAUUCUUUGGAAAGACACAAGCAUAUCCUCACUCUUGGUUAGCAGAAGCCUUUCUAUGGGUGUUGGAAUCCAGGGCCUGAAUUCUGCAUCCAUUCCUAUGUUAAUGGCAAACAUGCGGGUGGAAUGUGGUUUAGCGGCUGCCCUGAGAGCCUGGGGUGCCUGGGGACUGCCACAAAUGUGGGGAUCCUCACUGGGUGAGGAUGGGAUGACCUCACAUGGGUUAUUGCCUCGAGGUCAUGUAAGUUUAUCCCAUGGGUAUUUGAGGGGUGGCUGACUAGGCACUGCUACAUUGUCUGCUGUCAUGUCAUUUUCACUGUUGGAGCUCGGAGCUCUCCCCAAGUCAUCAACUGUUGCCUGUGUGGCAGACGCCUGGAGUGACAGGCUCUCAUCACUUGGUAACCUGUGUGGGAUUCUGAGAGGGGGUAUCUUUCCUGUGUUUGACUGUUUAAGAGCAGCACAUCAUGCCAACUUUAGCCAAAAGAAAGACAUGCACAGCACUGCUGCCAUAACAAAACAAAUUCCUAGCACCUCAGCGGCUGAUGGCAUUCUGCAGGGGUUCCCUACAUUAAAUGAACAGACAGUGGUGUUUCAGA